rnacentral:rRNA from 1 species
UACGUAGGGGGCAAGCGUUGUCCGGAUUUAUUGGGCGUAAAGAGCUCGUAGGUGGUUCGGUAAGUCGGAUGUGAAAUCUCCAGGCUCAACCUGGAGGGGUCAUUCGAUACUGCCGUGACUAGAGGUCGGUAGGGGAGUGUGGAAUUCCUGGUGGAGCGGUGAAAUGCGCAGAUAUCAGGAGGAACACCGAUUGCGAAGGCAGCUCGCUGGGACGUUACUGACGCUGAGACGCGAAAGCGUGGGGAGCAAACAGG